rnacentral:lncRNA from 1 species
GAGCAUGCACAGGUCAAGUCACAAAGGACGCUGAACCCCAACAAAAGGACUGGGCCCAUUGAUGUGAACAGGCUGGAACAUGCCUUUGGUCUAAAGUUUUGAGCGCACAAAACUUUAUUUAAAAAAAAAAAAAGAAUGAAAAGAACCUGCAUGUACGAGAGAUUUCUCCUCCUCACUUCAGGACAUGAACCGAAUCACGGCUAAGGAAAUCUUUUUUUUUCCCUUUUUUUGAAUAGCGGUUUUUGAAGUUCCCAGAUGACCCCAAAGUUAGCAGUGAGCUCCUUGAUCUGCUUCAGAGUCUGCUGUGUGUCCAGAAAGAGAGACUGAAGUUCGAGGGUCUCUGCUGCCACCCUUUCUUUGCCAGAACGGACUGGAACAACAUCCGUAACUGUGAGUACGCGCUCCUUCAGCCGGGGUUUGGGAUUGAGAACGAAAGAGGGCCUUCAAUUAUUUACAGCCACAGAGAGAGCUAAUGAUACAGCCAUCUUCGAUGACUAUAGCCAUCUUCGCAGAAGUGGGUCGGUUACUAAACCCCAUCUCUCCAUGGCCACUAGCACACUUCUAAGAGUUAGAGGUGCAAGUGGCAGAGUUCAAGGGUUGUUCCUGGGCCUGUCAGGUCCUUCCAAGAGGAAACACAGCCUGGCUAUUUCAUCUUCCUAAGGGGAGUGUGCUUGGGGGGCGGGGUAUGUGUGAAGAGGCAGAGGUUGGCAGCUGGGGCUCUGCCUGGGGCCCGAGCCUGGGAUGAGACUAGGAACACCUGUGUUGAUACACUUCCUCCAGCCGUGCUUCUCUUUGCUCAGAAGCAUGUGGAAUCUGAACCCGCAUACAUUCAGGGACUCAGUCACACCUCGCUGUAUAAUCAGUGUAAACUGAAAUCAAGUCAUUAAGAGCAAGAAUCUGAUUUGCCAUCAACAGCACCAAGAAGCGCGCUCGUUUAUUUAUCCUUAUGAAUCAGUGAUUUUUGUUCGGAAGUCUUUUUCUAUUUACUUUGUUGUUGAUUGAAGGUGACCCCGUGACCUAGCCCAGUGAUCAGCACAGAGCAAGGUGUUGGCUGUCCUGUUGCAUAUCGUGUUUAUUUUAUUUUUGGUGCUGCUGGGAGACAGGGCAAGUGGAAGCUGUUUUUUUUAGGUGGCAAGUCUGAGCUUCUAAUUGGAGCUGUGAUUACAGGUUGAAAGUUCCCAAUC